rnacentral:rRNA from 1 species
GACAGAGGGGGGCAAGCGUUGCUCGGAAUCACUGGGCGUAAAGGGCGCGUAGGCGGGAUGGCAAGUCAGUCGUGAAAUCUCUCGGCUCAACCGAGAAACGUCGGCUGAUACUGCCGUUCUUGAGGGAUGCAGAGGAGACUGGAAUUCCCGGUGUAGCGGUGAAAUGUGUAGAGAUCGGGAGGAACACCGGUGGCGAAGGCGGGUCUCUGGGCAUCUCCUGACGCUGAGGCGCGAAAGCGUGGGGAGCAAACAGG